AUGGCGGAUGCACCUCUGUACAAGCAGCGCCGCAAGUACACCAGGGAGCUCCACGACGUCCACCUCCACGGCAAUCACAAGCUCCACGUCCUUUGCACAAGCAAGGGCAAAGACAUGGACAAGAUGUUGUCCAUGUUCAGGAGGAAGCUCGGCGGAAUGCCCGUCAAACUAGUCGGCGUUGAUGUCGAGUACACACACUACGAGAAGCCACAGUGUCCAAUGGAACUAGACAAAUUCCUGAUGAAUGAUGAGUACACCUUCAUCGGAUUCGCUAUUGAAGGAGACAAAAGCAAGCUGAAGGUAUCUGGUUUGGAGAUCAACUCCGACAACUACAUUGAUAUUCAGGUGGAAUGGAGAGACCCAUACAAUAAAAAGAAGUUUGACUCUUUGGCUGAUGUUGCUGGCAGGAUGAUAGACAUUCACUACCAUGACAUGAAGAAAAAAAUUAACCGCAAGGAGGACCAUACUCUAUGGGGAUUUUGCCCGCUGCCAGAAAAGCUUAUCAAGUAUGCAGCUAUAGAUGCAUUCGCAACAUAUGAGUUAUGGAGAAUCAUC
rnacentral:rRNA from 1 species